rnacentral:rRNA from 1 species
CCCAGGCGCACCCAGAAACCCUUUGUGAACUUAUACCUUACUGUUGCCUCGGCGCUAGCUGGUCCUCCGGGGCCCCUCACCCCCGGGUGUUGAGACGGCACGCCGGCGGCCAACCCAACUCUUGUUUUUACACUGAAACUCUGAGCACAAAACAUAAAUGAAUCAAAACUUUCAACAACGGAUCUCUUGGUUCUGGCAUCGAUGAAGAACGCAGCGAAAUGCGAUAAGUAAUGUGAAUUGCAGAAUUCAGUGAAUCAUCGAAUCUUUGAACGCACAUUGCGCCCUCUGGUAUUCCGGAGGGCAUGCCUGUUCGAGCGUCAUUUCAACCCUCAAGCCUGGCUUGGUGAUGGGGCACUGCCUGUAAAAGGGCAGGCCCUGAAAUUCAGUGGCGAGCUCGCCAGGACCCCGAGCGCAGUAGUUAAACCCUCGCUUUGGAAGGCCCUGGCGGUGCCCUGCCGUUAAACCCCCAACUUCUGAAAAUUUGACCUCGGAUCAGGUAGGAAUACCCGCUGAACUUAAGCAUAUCA